rnacentral:tRNA from 1 species
GCCUGAUUAGCUCAGCUGGUUAGAGCGUCAUACUAAUAUCUUCAUCAUGAGAUAUCAAAUCAUGCGAAGGUCAACAGUUCAAUCCUGUUAUUGGGCA